rnacentral:rRNA from 1 species
GACGAACGCUGGCGGCGUGCCUAAUACAUGCAAGUAGAACGCUGAAGGAGGAGCUUGCUUCUCUGGAUGAGUUGCGAACGGGUGAGUAACGCGUAGGUAACCUGCCUGGUAGCGGGGGUUAACUAUUGGAAACGAUAGCUAAUACCGCAUAAGAGUAGAUGUUGCAUGACAUUUGCUUAAAAGGUGCAAUUGCAUCACUACCAGAUGGACCUGCGUUGUAUUAGCUAGUUGGUGGGGUAACGGCUCACCAAGGCGACGAUACAUAGCCGACCUGAGAGGGUGAUCGGCCACACUGGGACUGAGACACGGCCCAGACUCCUACGGGAGGCAGCAGUAGGGAAUCUUCGGCAAUGGACGGAAGUCUGACCGAGCAACGCCGCGUGAGUGAAGAAGGUUUUCGGAUCGUAAAGCUCUGUUGUAAGAGAAGAACGAGUGUGAGAGUGGAAAGUUCACACUGUGACGGUAUCUUACCAGAAAGGGACGGCUAACUACGUG